rnacentral:rRNA from 1 species
AUACAGAGGGUGCAAGCGUUAUUCGGAAUUACUGGGCGUAAAGCGCGCGCAGGCGGCUAUUUACGUUGGAUGUGAAAGCCUACGGCUCAACCGUAGAACUGCAUCCAAAACUAUUUAGCUAGAGUGUGGGAGAGGAAGAUGGAAUUAGUUGUGUAGGGGUAAAAUCCGUAGAGAUAACUAGGAAUACCAAAAGCGAAGGCAAUCUUCUGGAACACUACUGACGCUGAGGCGCGAAAGCGAGGGGAGCAAACAGGAUUAGAAACCCUAGUAGUCC